GACGAACGCUGGCGGCGCGCUUAACACAUGCAAGUCGAACGGAAAGGCCUGCUUUCCCUUGUGGAUUGCGGGUACUCGAGUGGCGAACGGGUGAGUAACACGUGAGUGAUCUGCCCCCAACUUGGGUAUAAGCCUGGGAAACUGGGUCUAAUUCCCGAUAGGACUGCAGGGUGGUGCCUGUGGUGGAAAACGAUUUUCUAGUGGUUGGGGAUGAGCUCGCGGCCUAUCAGCUUGUUGGUGGGGUAAUGGCCUACCAAGGCGGCGACGGGUAGCCGGCCUGAGAGGGUGGACGGCCACAUUGGGACUGAGAUACGGCCCAGAGUCCUACGGGAGGCAGCAGUGGGGAAUAUUGCACAAUGGGCGGAAGCCUGAUGCAGCGACGCCGCGUGGGGGAUGACGGCCUUCGGGUUGUAAACUCCUUUCGACCGCGAGGAAGCCACCUGGUUGGAAGGGUGGUGACGGUAGUGGUAGAAGAAGCACCGGCUAACUACGUG
rnacentral:rRNA from 1 species